GACUCCAUAGCUCAGUGGUUAGAGCAUACGAUUGCAGAUCGUGUUGUCCCGUGUUCGAACCACGGUGGGGUCU